CCCAGGUGCCCUGAACAAUGCUUAUUUCUUAAAUGAGGAAAAAACAGAUCCAAAAAAUUAAAAUAACAAAUGAACCACGCUUACCUUUUUGGGCCAAACACUAGCUCCUACUUCAGGAAAGACGGUGGCUCCUCCUGCUGACACAUCACUCAUCUAGAAGAAUUCCCGACAGCACUAUGAGAAGCACUGGCAUAAUAAAGAUAUGCCUGCUCCCGUAACCUAGUCACCGUGCCGGGAGGAAGCCCGCACCGUAUGCAGGUACUUCGGCCAACGCCAGCCUCAACCUCAGCCUUCGAGAUGAGCCCAGUGCCAGUCAUCAACUGGCUACAGAUGCAGCGCGCAAGAACCCAGAGUGAAGCCCACUCAACCUUACAGCCGUGAGAG